UCUGCAUCGAUACACGAAUACGGCUGCUGGCACUAUCUUAAUAAUCAAAUGGCAGGAUAUGAUUCAAUUCACUUAUCUCCACUAGAUAAGCCUCGAAAAUUGACAAAUGUCAAAGCUCUUAUACUUUUUUCUGCCUAUAUGGUAGCUUAUAUUGGUACUGCUAUUUACGCAUUCAUAAAUGGUGACACCACAGAGUUUAAG